rnacentral:rRNA from 1 species
GGCAGAGGUCCCGAGCGUUAGGCGGAAUCACUGGGCUUAAAGCGUGUGUAGGCGGAGUGCUAAGUACCUUGUGAAAUCCCACGGCUCAACCGUGGAACUGCUUGGUAUACUGGUUCUCUUGAGCCACCUAGGGGCAACCGGAACAAACGGUGGAGCGGUGAAAUGCGUAGAUAUCGUUUGGAACGCCAAUGGUGAAAACAGGUUGCUGGGGGUGUGCUGACGCUGAGACACGAAAGCCAGGGGAGCGAACGGG